CCCUUAGAUGUUCUGGGCUGCACGCGUGCUACACUGAUAUUGCCAAUAUGUCAUUCUUAUCCGAAAUGGAUUGGGUAAUCAAGUAAUGAAAUUUCAUGCUUGGAAUCGGUAAUUGCAAUUUUAUCGUGAACGAGGAAUUCCUAGUAAGCACUAGUCAUCAGCUAAUGUUGAUUAUGUCCCUGCCCUUUGUACACACCGCCCGUCGCUACUACCGAUUGGGUGUUCAAGUGAGAUGCUUAGACCCUUGUUGCAUGGUUCAUUAUUGUGCUCCGAAAGGAAAAAGUUUCAAGCUUGAGUGUCUAGAGGAAGUAAAAGUCGUAACA
rnacentral:rRNA from 1 species